rnacentral:rRNA from 1 species
UACGUAGGGUGCGAGCGUUGUCCGGAAUUAUUGGGCGUAAAGGGCUCGUAGGCGGUCUGUUGCGUCAGGAGUGAAAACUCGGGGCUUAACCCCGAGCCUGCUUCUGAUACGGGCAGACUAGAGGUAUGCAGGGGAGAACGGAAUUCCUGGUGUAGCGGUGAAAUGCGCAGAUAUCAGGAGGAACACCGGUGGCGAAGGCGGAUCUCUGGGCCGUAACUGACGCUGAGGCGCGAAAGCUAGGGGAGCAAACGGG